rnacentral:rRNA from 1 species
GAUGAACGCUGGCGGCGUGCCUAAUACAUGCAAGUCGAGCGAACAGACGAGGAGCUUGCUCCUCUGACGUUAGCGGCGGACGGGUGAGUAACACGUGGAUAACCUACCUAUAAGACUGGGAUAACUUCGGGAAACCGGAGCUAAUACCGGAUAAUAUAUUGAACCGCAUGGUUCAAUAGUGAAAGACGGUUUUGCUGUCACUUAUAGAUGGAUCCGCGCCGUAUUAGAUAGUUGGUAAGGUAACGGGUUACCAAGGCAACGAUGCGUAACCGAACUGUGAGGGUGAUCGGCCACACUAGAACUGAGACAGGCUCAAGACUCCUACGGGACGCAGCAGUAGGGAAUCUUCCGCAAUGGGCGAAAGUCUGACGCAGCAACGCGGCGUGAGUGAUGAAGGUCUUCGGAUCGUAAAACUCUGUUAUUAGGGAAGAACAACUGUGUAAGUAACUAUGCACGUAUUGACGGUAACUAAUCAGAAAGCAACGGCUAACUACGUG